GGGCGUAAGCCCACGGGGCAGCAGUAAAGAAUUUUGUGCAAUAUCCGAAAGGAAGACACAGGGAGGAGACAUUUAUUUGAUCCGUCAAAUUAAGUGCCAGCAGACGCGGUGAAACUUAGGGGUUGGUCUUAUAGGAAAGGCGUAAGGAGUGUGAGCGGGGUUUUUGUUGUUGAAGAGGGUAAAUGGAAUUUCUCUGUAAUGGUGACAUGUAUUAAUAGAAAAAAGAAUUUUAGAUGUGAAGGAAAUUUAUCUCUCGGGAGCGGGCUGGGGGCUUUCGCCUAGCCCGCCCCCCCCCCUUAAUAAGGCUGUUAUACGAGGGGGUCUGGCGGAAAUACGAAGGUAUGGGGAGCAAACAGGAUUAGAGAUCCUGGUAGUCCAUACUGUAAAUAAUGAAGAAGAUGUGAUGCAACCCUAAAAGGUAAUAAAUUUUUCGCUUGAGUAGUACGAUCGCAAGAUUAAAAUUCAAAAAGCUUGGCUGUUCACUGUUUUAAUUAGAGGAGCGUGUUGUUUAAUUCGAUAGUCCGCGAGAUACCUCACCCAAACUUGAAUUCGCCCCUUGACAGGUAUUGCAUGGCCGUCGUCAGUUUGUGUGUAAAACAUAAAACCGAUUUAACCCUGUGGAUUCGUUUAUUGGAUGAAGUCAGGUCUUAUUGUCCUAAUGUUUGGGGAUUAGAUGCGCUACAUUUUUUUAUACAAUGGGAGACUUUAAAGGUGAAACCCUAAAGUGAGAGUUCGGAGGGCGUCUGGAAGACAACUGAAAGUUGUAUUUAAUAGUAAUUGGAAAGUAGAGCGUUCUGGUGAAAUUGGUCCAGUGUUAGUACAAAUUGCCCGUCGCCUUUGCUUAGAAUGGUGGUUUGAAUGCCUCUUAUUGUAAGGGCUACGA
rnacentral:rRNA from 1 species